rnacentral:rRNA from 1 species
UACGGGGGGAGCAAGCGUUGUUCGGAUUUACUGGGCGUAAAGCGUGCGUAGGCGGUUUGUUAAGUCUGUCGUGAAAGCCCCGGGCUCAACCUGGGAAUGGCGAUGGAUACUGGCGAGCUAGAGUACGGUAGAGGAGAGUAGAAUUCCCGGUGUAGCAGUGAAAUGCGUAGAGAUCGGGAGGAACAUCAGUUGCGAAGGCGGCUCUCUGGACCAGUACUGACGCUGAGGCACGAAAGCGUGGGGAGCAAACAGG